rnacentral:rRNA from 1 species
AACACCUAGGAGGAUCCUGAGUACGGCGGAACACGAGAAAUUCCGUCGGAAUCCGCGGGGACCAUCCCGCAAGGCUAAAUACUCCCUAGUGACCGAUAGUGAACCAGUACCGUGAGGGAAAGGUGAAAAGCACCCCGGAAGGGGAGUGAAAUAGAUCCUGAAACCGUGUGCCUACAACAAGUCAAAGCUCGUUAAUGAGUGAUGGCGUGCCUUUUGUAGAAUGAACCGGCGAGUUACGAUUGCAUGCGAGGUUAAGUCGAAGAGACGGAGCCGCAGCGAAAGCGAGUCUGAAUAGGGCGAAUGAGUAUGUAGUCGUAGACCCGAAACCAUGUGAUCUACCCAUGUCCAGGUUGAAGGUGCGGUAAAACGCACUGGAGGACCGAACCCACGUACGUUGAAAAGUGCGGGGAUGAGGUGUGGGUAGCGGAGAAAUUCCAAACGAACUUGGAGAUAGCUGGUUCUCUCCGAAAUAGCUUUAGGGCUAGCCUCGGAAUUGAGAAUGAUGGAGGUAGAGCACUGUUUGGACUAGGGGCCCAUCUCGGGUUACCGAAUUCAGAUAAACUCCGAAUGCCAUUCAUUUAUAUCCGGGAGUCAGACUGCGAGUGAUAAGAUCCGUAGUCGAAAGGGAAACAGCCCAGACCACCAGCUAAGGUCCCAAAAUAUAUGUUAAGUGGAAAAGGAUGUGGGGUUGCACAGACAACUAGGAUGUUGGCUUAGAAGCAGCCACCAUUUAAAGAGUGCGUAAUAGCUCACUAGUCGAGUGACCCUGCGCCGAAAAUGUACCGGGGCUAAACAUAUUACCGAAGCUGUGGACUACACCAUUAGGUGUAGUGGUAGGAGAGCGUUCUAAGGGCGUUGAAGGUCGAUCGUGAGGACGGCUGGAGCGCUUAGAAGUGAGAAUGCCGGUAUGAGUAGCGAAAGACAGGUGAGAAUCCUGUCCACCGUAUGACUAAGGUUUCCUGGGGAAGGCUCGUCCGCCCAGGGUUAGUCGGGACCUAAGCCGAGGCCGAUAGGCGUAGGCGAUGGACAACAGGUUGAUAUUCCUGUACCAGUUGUUUUUGUUUGAGCAAUGGAGGGACGCAGUAGGCUAAGGAAUGCAUGCGAUUGGAAGUGCAUGUCCAAGCAAUGAGUCUUGAGUAGAGUUAAAUGCUUUACUCUUUAAGGACAAGUUGUGACGGGGAGCGAAAUAAUAGUAGCGAAGUUCCUGAUGUCACACUGCCAAGAAAAGCUUCUAGU